UUAUAAGCCAUCUUACUAGUU
rnacentral:miRNA from 1 species